UCACUGUUGGUUUCACUUUCACCUCAUCAGCAGUACAAAACUGCAAGUGAUCAAGAACUUCCCCUUCCCACCUCAUCUCUUUCACCACAACCAUUUCAGCUUUCAUCUCCUCCCAAAACUCCUCCUUUGUCUCUGUAUCCUUCAUCUUUAAGGGCACAAAACCUGAGGUGAUGGCCACAAGGAUUUCAGAGACACAGGGAACACGGUUCCAUUUAAGAUUGAUGGUUUGGCAUCUGUGAGGCCACCCAUAUGCGACCUCACUUAAAAGGUCACCAUUUCUUUCUUUCUUCUUGCUUUCCCUUCUGUCCUCCACCUCCCAUUCCUCUGUUUAAAAGCCUCUCUUUUCCUCUGCUUUCCAAACUCUAUCAUCUCCCUUUCCUUCCGCUUCACUCCCUCUGCUUUCCUCUUUCCACUCUCCCUCGAUGCUCCCUCCUUUUGCCUUGUCGAGUUCGGUGCUCCUUUUUGCCUUUGAGUGCUCAUCUUUAGCAAAGCUGAGAUCUUUAACUGCCUCUCGCAACUAUCAGUUGUGGAGAGGCAGCCUCUCGCCGGUGAUCAGUCACCUUUGCAUGUGAAUUCAGCGUUCUUUCUUGCUUUCUAGUGCUCUCAUCAGCAAAAAGGUCUUCUUUCGGAGAAGGAAGAACCGAACCUCGCCGGAGAUGUAUUGCGGGCUGCCGGAUCAGCUGCCGUCAUGCCUCCUCGACCUGAACUGGGACCAGACGAUGGACACGGCGGGCCAUUUUGAGUCGGUGCUGAGCUCCAUUGCCCCGCCGUCGCAGUCGUCCGGCUCCCCCGCCUCCGCAGAUGGCGUGGCCUUCCAUAAGCUCAUGGGAGGAUCGCAGAGCAUCGGCAACUCCUCCGAUGGGACGUGGCCGCGGUCGCAUCACAUUGGUGUUCGUCUUAAUUCCCCUCCGAAACCCAAUCUGUCCGUGUUGGGUCAUAUCCGCCACCUGCAGCAGGAGGCCACGGGAGGAGUAGCCGUGUCGACUCAGUUGGAUCAAUUCUACAGCUUUGGUGGCCGGAAUUAUGGUCAUCUCGCACCUCAGUUUGGGCUUCUGGAUACUCUGCAAAUGGAGCUGCCACUGCGAUUGAAUGCAAACAAUGGUGAAUUGAUGAAUGCGAGGGAGGAAUCUUCUUUGUCUGAUCCGACCACCAGAGGAGUAAGCUCAGGAGGUGCUGCCAGGAGCAAUUCAAAGAAACGGAAGGCUCCUCCGACGGACAAAGUGAAGGGUGAUGCUAUCUUGGCUAAUUCUGCCAUAGAUCCUCCCAAGGUGGCAAAGGAAGAGGAUUCUGAUGCCAAGAGAUGCCGUUCCAUGGUGAAGAACAGGGAUGAAAACGAUGCAGUUAAACCGAAGGCAGAGCAGAACGAUGGUUGCAGCAGCAACGGAAAUGGUGGUCAGAAACAAUGCAGGGAGAAUACUGCCAAGUCCACUGAGCCUCCAAAGGACUACAUCCAUGUCCGGGCAAGAAGAGGCCAGGCAACAGAUAGCCACAGCCUUGCUGAGAGGGUGAGAAGAGAGAAAAUAAGCCAGAGAAUGAAGCUACUGCAAGAUCUAGUCCCGGGCUGCAAUAAGGUGACAGGAAAGGCAGUCAUGCUUGAUGAGAUUAUCAUCUACGUGCAGUCGUUGCAGCGCCAAGUUGAGUUUCUUUCUAUGAAGCUGGCCACUGUCAAUCCACAUCUUGACUUCAACAAUUUGUCAAACCUCCUUCCAAAGGAUGUGCAUCAAACUUGUGGGGCUAUGCCAAACUCUGUUUACUCAUUAGAGGCCUCAGGAGUGGCACCGCCAUAUAUAAACCAACCCUCUCUUCAUUGUGUCUUGCCUGAUGGCAUGGAGAUCCAUAGGUCAGCAGACCUGCUAGGCUCAACUUUACAUCAAAAUGUCAACACACACCAGCCUUUACUUGCUGGAUUUGAGAAUUCACCUUCUCAGCUUGCUGAAUUUUCAGCUGGGAAAUUUCUGGGAGGAUGGCCUCCAAAAUGUUAGUCAGAUGGACAUAGGACACGACUAGUAGAUUGCCUCUCUUUCUAUCGGAGCUUUGUUUGGCCCUCUGCCAAAACAGCUCAUAUGAAGAUUUAGCUGUGAAUCAUCUGAGUUCAUUAAUGGCACCCUGGUGCAUUUGUAUAUAGCGACGCUCGAGGAGAACCGUGCAGAAGACCUUGAGCUAACAGUGUUCAGAUCUGAGCAGAUUGCCAUUAGUCUCCUGAUUAAUUCUUUGGAGGUUUGUCGGUGUCUCUUGUAUGAUCUUCAUACUUGUGUAGCUUUCCUUAAUGCUUCGAACAUUAUUGUGAUGUGAGAUAAUGAGCACGACAGAUUUGACAUCAUGAUUUUGCUCCGCUAUUGUAAGAACUAAUUUUCAUCAUUUUUCAAUAUGUGUUCUAUCACGAACGAAACAUCCGAUUCUGGUGA